rnacentral:rRNA from 1 species
UACGUAGGGUGCAAGCGUUAAUCGGAAUUACGUGGGCGUAAAGCGUGCGCAGGCGGUUUGUAAUGUCUGUCGUGAAAGCCCCGGGCUCAACCUGGGAAUUGCGAUGGAGACUGCAAGGCUUGAAUCUGGCAGAGGGGGGUAGAAUUCCACGUGUAGCAGUGAAAUGCGUAGAUAUCUGGAGGAACACCGGUGGCGAAGGCGGCAUCCUGGACCGACACUGAACGCUGAGGAGCGAAAGCGUGGGGAGCGAACAGG